rnacentral:rRNA from 1 species
UACGUAGGGGGCUAGCGUCGUCCGGAAUCAUUGGGCGUAAAGCGCGUGUAGGCGGUUCGGUAAGUCCGCUGUGAAAGUCGGGGGCUCAACCCUCGGAUGCCGGUGGAUACUGUCGGACUAGAGUACGGAAGAGGCGAGUGGAAUUCCUGGUGUAGCGGUGAAAUGCGCAGAUAUCAGGAUGAACACCGGUGGCGAAGGCGGGUCUCUGGGCCGUAACUGACGCUGAGGAGCGAAAGCGUGGGGAGCGAACAGG